rnacentral:rRNA from 1 species
UACGGAGGGUGCAAGCGUUAUCCGGAUUCACUGGGUUUAAAGGGUGCGUAGGUGGGUUGGUAAGUCAGUGGUGAAAUCCCGCGGCCCAACCGUGGAACUGCCAUCGAUACUGGCGGACUUGAGUGCGUGAGGGGUUACCGGAACGAGCAGUGUAGCGGUGAAAUGCGUAGAUAUUGCUCGGAAGGCCAGAGGCGAAGGCGGGUAACUGGCACGCAACUGACACUGAGGCACGAAAGCGUGGGGAGCAAACAGG